rnacentral:rRNA from 1 species
GAUGAACGCUAGCGAUAGGCCUAACACAUGCAAGUCGAGGGGCAUCACAUGAAGUAGCAAUACGGAUGGUGGCGACCGGCGCACGGGUGAGUAACACGUAUGCAACCUGCCUUCAACAAGGGGAUAACCCGUUGAAAGACGGACUAAUACCCUAUAACACAGGGGUCCCGCAUGGGAAUAUUUGUUAAAGGACAACCGGUUGAAGAUGGGCAUGCGUUCCAUUAGCUAGUUGGCGGGGUAACGGCCCACCAAGGCAACGAUGGAUAGGGGAACUGAGAGGUUUAUCCCCCACACUGGUACUGAGACACGGACCAGACUCCUACGGGAGGCAGCAGUGAGGAAUAUUGGUCAAUGGACGCAAGUCUGAACCAGCCACGUCGCGUGAAGGAAGACGGCCCUACGGGUUGUAAACUUCUUUUAUACGGGAAUAAAGUGCCCCACGCGUGGGGUUUUGCAUGUCCGUAUGAAUAAGGAUCGGCUAACUCCGUG